GACGAACGCUGGCGGCGUGCUUAACACAUGCAAGUCGAACGGAAAGGCCUGCUUUCCCUUGUGGAUUGCGGGUACUCGAGUGGCGAACGGGUGAGUAACACGUGAGUGAUCUGCCCCCAACUUGGGUAUAAGCCUGGGAAACUGGGUCUAAUUCCCGAUAGGACUGCAGGGUGGUGCCUGUGGUGGAAAACGAUUUUCUAGUGGUUGGGGAUGAGCUCGCGGCCUAUCAGCUUGUUGGUGGGGUAAUGGCCUACCAAGGCGGCGACGGGUAGCCGGCCUGAGAGGGUGGACGGCCACAUUGGGACUGAUACGGCCCAGACUCCUACGGGAGACAGCAGUGGGGAAGAUUGCACAAUGGGCGGAAGCCUGAUGCAGCGACGCCGCGUGGGGGAUGACGGCCUUCGGGUUGUAAACUCCUUUCGACCGCGAGGAAGCCACCUGGUUGGAAGGGUGGUGACGGUAGUGGUAGAAGAAGCACCUGCUAACUACGUG
rnacentral:rRNA from 1 species